rnacentral:rRNA from 1 species
GACGAACGCUGGCGGCGCGCCUAACACAUGCAAGUCGAACGGAGCUUGCUUGUCAGAUCCUUUCGGGGCGACGACUUGUAAGCUUAGUGGCGGACGGGUGAGUAACACGUGAGUAACCUGCCCCAGAGUGGGGGACAACAGUUGGAAACGACUGCUAAUACCGCAUAAGCCCCCAGAACCGCAUGGUUCUGGGGGAAAAGGAGCAAUUCGCUUUGGGAUGGACUCGCGUCCGAUUAGCUAGAUGUUGAGGUAACGGCCCACCAAGGCAACGAUCGGUAGCCGGACUGAGAGGUUGAACGGCCACAUUGGGACUGAGAUACGGCCCAG